AGCAGGGCAUUAUGGGGGUGUGUUUUGGGAGUAUUAGGGGGAUCUACCAUCACUGUGCAGUUUAGCCACCUGAGGGGUUUUUGGCUGUGUUUAAUAGAUCGGGUUUUACUCUUCAAGCACUUUUAAGAGCUGUAAGCGAGCAGUAUCCUGUUAAUAAAGAGCUUCUUGCUAAGAGCAUGCUUCCUGCUUCUUCAUCUCCCUGCCGGUCCCGAACCCUAGGAGUGAAAAACUACAGGGGGCUACGUUGAGCCCAAGCUCUGGUGAUCACCCUAUGGGAGAAGAAGUGGCCAUUGUUACAGACAGAGCACGGAUCUCUCGGCCGCAAAAAUAACAGCUGAUGAUGAUGCUGAUUCUCACCGAGAGCCUGGUUUGGACCUUAAGAGCAACUAUAAUGAAACGAUCAAGAUACAGCGUCAAGGAGAAUGGCAACCACAGCACUUUCACAACAACAGAAGGGAGUUUUUCCUUGCCACCGCGCUCAUUGGAAAGUGAUCUGCAGUUUAAAAACUGCCCAUUUUGGUUGAGUUGGUCAUGGCUGGCUGUGUUAAUUGUUUCUAUUCACUCAGCUCAGUAUCUCUGCGUAGACUGUGUAAUGUCAUACAAAAAGAUAAUAAUAAUAAGAAAAAGAUGAAACAACAAUAUUACUUUUAUUAAAGAGUUGUACGUCCUGAGUCAGAAUAUAUUGAUAAAGUCCCAGCGCAAAACUGUAUUACCCAGCAACACUAGCUUUAGUGCAGUCAAACCUCUGAAAUCCACUGAUUCUUCUAUUCGCCUAGUAUAUAACAUGCUGUCAGUGGCUGAUUUUCAUAAUGCUUCUUUAAUUUAACAUUAAAUCAUGUUAUUAGACAUAUCUGUAUAUGUUUAACAAAAUAUUUAAAAUACUGAUAACAUUUACAAUAAAUAUACAUCAAUUAACCAUGCUUACAACAGUUACAAACAUUGUAAAAUAGUGUAUGAAUACGCCUCAACUAGUUAUUAAAUAACAAAUGUUUAAACAUUAUCUAUCAUUAAAAUUCCUUAAACUAUAGACUCAGAUCAUAAUUAAUUAACAGGAUGUACUACAUUUUUACUCAUAAUACCACGUAUUUCCCAACCCAAAUGUUAGUUUCUUCUAUUCUCUUUCUUCUCAGUUUAUAAUGCUGGU